rnacentral:rRNA from 1 species
CACGGGGGGAGCAAGCGUUGUUCGGAAUCACUGGGCGUAAAGGGCGUGUAGGCGGUUCGGUAAGUGGAAUGUGAAAUCCCUCGGCUCACCCGAGGACCUGCAUUCCAAACUACCGAGCUUGAGUAUGGGAGAGGAUGAGGGAAUUCCUGGUGUAGCGGUGAAAUGCGUAGAUAUCAGGAGGAACACCGGUGGCGAAGGCGGAUCUCUGGGCCUGAUCUGACGCUGAGGCGCGAAAGCUAGGGGAGCGAACAGG